UACGAAGGGGGCUAGCGUUGUUCGGAAUUACUGGGCGUAAAGGGCGCGUAGGCGGUGUGUCAAGUCAGGCGUGAAAGCCCCGGGCUCAACCUGGGAACAGCGCUUGAGACUGGCACGCUCGAGUUCGGGAGAGGAUGGUGGAAUUCCCAGUGUAGAGGUGAAAUUCGUAGAUAUUGGGAAGAACACCGAUGGCGAAGGCAGCCAUCUGGAC
rnacentral:rRNA from 1 species